GCUUACGGCCAUACCACCCUGAACACGCCUGCUCUCGUCUGACCUCGGCAGCCAACCAGGGUCGGGCCUGGUCAGUACUUGAAUUGGAGAUAUCCUGGGAAUACCAGGUGCUGUAAGCU
ensembl:rRNA 5S_rRNA 5S ribosomal RNA